UACGGAGGAUCCAAGCGUUAUCCGGAAUCAUUGGGUUUAAAGGGUCCGUAGGCGGUCUAGUAAGUCAGUGGUGAAAGCCCAUCGCUCAACGGUGGAACGGCCAUUGAUACUGCUGGACUUGAAUUAUUGGGAAGCAACUAGAAUAUGUAGUGUAGCGGUGAAAUGCUUAGAGAUUACAUGGAAUACCAAUUGCGAAGGCAGGUUGCUACCAAUUGAUUGACGCUGGUGGACGAAAGCGUGGGUAGCGAACAGG
rnacentral:rRNA from 1 species